rnacentral:rRNA from 1 species
GAUUAACGCGAAGAACCUUACCAGCGUUUGACAUGGGUACUAUGGUUAUCAGAGAUGAUUUCCUUCACUUCGGGUGGGUACCACACAGGUGCUGCAUGGCUGUCGUCAGCUCGUGUCGUGAGAUGUUGGGUCAAGUCCCGCAACGAGCGCAACCCUCACCUUCAGUUGCCAUCAUUUAGUUGGGCACUCUGAAGGAACUGCCGGUGACAAGCCGGAGGAAGGUGGGGAUGACGUCAAGUCCUCAUGGCCCUUACGCGCUGGGCUACACACGUGCUACAAUGGUGGUGACAAUGGGUCGCAAGCGUGCGAACGCAAGCUAAUCUCCAAAAGCCAUCCCAGUUCGGAUUGCACUCUGCAACUCGAGUGCAUGAAGUCGGAAUCGCUAGUAAUCGUGGAUCAGCAUGCCACGGUGAAUACGUUCCCGGGCCUUGUACACACCGAAUCACUAGU